GUGCUCGCUUUGGCAGCACAUAUACUAAAAUUGGAACGAUACAGAGAUUAGCAUGGCCCCUGUGCAAGGAUGAUACACAAAUUCGUGAAGUGUUCCAUAUUUUU
rnacentral:snRNA from 1 species